GGCCGGGUGACAGAGUGGUUAUGUGGAGGACUGCAAAUCCUUUUACGCUGGUUCGAUUCCGGUCCCGGCCU
rnacentral:tRNA from 1 species